ACAAAACCCUUUUAAUCAUUUCAACGUGGCAGCUUUCUCUACCUCACAAGUUUUACAAAGCAAUUCCAUAGAAUUUUUAUUUAUUGUAGUAACCACACAACUUUGUUGGGAAAUGGGUAUUAUGCAUUGAUCAAGUAACUAGAGACUAUAGGAGUAGUUGAGGAAGGAAGGUUUGAGAACACAAACAAUCUUCAAAAUUGCAUCUGGUCACCUAGUCUUCUCCUGUGG
rnacentral:lncRNA from 1 species